CAGUAGCCACGGGAAAACGCAGGGGGCUAGCGUUGCUCGGAAUUACUGGGCGUAAAGGGAGCGUAGGCGGGUCGUUUAGUCAGAGGUGAAAUCCCGGGGCUCAACCUCGGAACUGCCUUUGAUACUGGCGACCUUGAGUAUGGGAGAGGUAAGCGGAACUCCGAGUGUAGAGGUGAAAUUCGUAGAUAUUCGGAAGAACACCAGUGGCGAAGGCGGCUUACUGGCCCAUUACUGACGCUGAGGCUCGAAAGCGUGGGGAGCAAACAGGAUUAGAUACCCCGGUAGUCCCUGUCUCUUAUAA
rnacentral:rRNA from 1 species